rnacentral:rRNA from 1 species
GACGAACGCUGGCGGCGUGCCUAAUACAUGCAAGUAGAACGCUGAAGGAGGAGCUUGCUCUUCUGGAUGAGUUGCGAACGGGUGAGUAACGCGUAGGUAACCUGCCUGGUAGCGGGGGAUAACUAUUGGAAACGAUAGCUAAUACCGCAUAAGAGUAGAUGUUGCAUGACAUUUGCUUAAAAGGUGCAAUUGCAUCACUACCAGAUGGACCUGCGUUGUAUUAGCUAGUUGGUGGGGUAACGGCUCACCAAGGCGACGAUACAUAGCCGACCUGGGAGGGUGAUCGGCCACACUGGGACUGAGACACGGCCCAGACUCCUACGGGAGGCAGCAGUAGGGAAUCUUCGGCAAUGGACGGAAGUCUGACCGAGCAACGCCGCGUGAGUGAAGAAGGUUUUCGGAUCGUAAAGCUCGGUUGUAAGAGAAGAACGAGUGUGAGAGUGGAAAGUUCACACUGUGACGGUAGCUUAACAGAAAGGGACGGCUAACUACGUG